rnacentral:lncRNA from 1 species
UCAGAGCUUGCCACAAGGAAGCAGCCCUGCUGACACCUUGAUCGUGGACUGGUCGCUACCGGAACUUACCGAACACAGAUAAACAUUCGGAUCAAUAAUCCAACUUUUGAAAGUGUAUUUUAUUUAAAAUGCAGAAAAAACGAAAGGACACGCAGGAAAUCGAAAGCACACUGCUCGCAGCCUGGGGAAGUCCUCCGGCUCCGUCCACCCCGGGGGGCGGGCGUGGGGACCCGCCGAGGGCGCGCCGGGGGCGGCCUGCGCUCGACCCCCGCCGGAGCGUCCCGGGAGACCCAGCGCGUCUGGAGCGCGGACGCGGCCCUCCUCUUCCUCCCUCUCCCUCCGCGGAGUCCCUGGACCCCGAUCCCGGAUUCCCUCCUCCGCAGCUUGGCGCUCUCCCGAGCCGGAGCCGGAGCCCGAGCCGGAGUCGCGGCGCGGCCGGGCCGCCGCGUCAGAG